GCCUUGAGGAUAGCUCAGUCUGUAGGACAUGAGACUCUUAAACUCAAGGUUGUGGGUUUGAGCCCCAAGUUGGGCG